rnacentral:rRNA from 1 species
UACGGGGGGGGCAAGCGUUGUUCGGAAUUACUGGGCGUAAAGGGCUCGUAGGCGGCCAACUAAGUCGGAUGUGAAAUCCCCGGGCUCAACCUGGGACCUGCAUUUGUGACUGCAUCGCUAGAGUACGGUAGAGGGGGAUGGAAUUCCGCGUGUAGCAGUGAAAUGCGUAGAUAUGCGGAGGAACACCGAUGGCGAAGGCAAUCCCCUGGACCUGUACUGACGCUCAUGCACGAAAGCGUGGGGAGCAAACAGG